UACGUAGGGUGCAAGCGUUAUCCGGAAUUAUUGGGCGUAAAGGGCUCGUAGGCGGUUUGUCGCGUCGGGAGUGAAAACCAGGUGCUUAACACCUGGCUUGCUUUCGAUACGGGCAGACUAGAGGUAUGCAGGGGAGAACGGAAUUCCUGGUGUAGCGGUGAAAUGCGCAGAUAUCAGGAGGAACACCGGUGGCGAAGGCGGUUCUCUGGGCAUGACCUGACGCUGAGGAGCGAAAGUGUGGGGAGCGAACAGG
rnacentral:rRNA from 1 species